CACAAAGACCACCAGCCACAGCACUCUUCCUUGGACCGUAAAAUUAAAUUGACAUUCAUGUCUCAAGAAUUUUGAUAUUCACAAACCGGUUAGCAAAACCGAAUGAUCUGUCAUCUCAAAAUUCUCUUAAAUAUCUGUUCCACCAAGUGACAUUUAGCAUAUCAAGGUAUGCAACAAAUUCCCUUGUGCUGUCCAUUUCAUCAAGAGCAGAUCCAAUCCAUUUAAUCAAGGAAACUUAGAAAAGAGGAUAAUACUUAAUAGUGACACAU